AGUGAACGCUGGCGGUAGGCCUAACACAUGCAAGUCGAACGGCAGCACAGGAGAGCUUUCUCUUUGGGUGGCGCGUGGCGGACGGGUGAGGAAUAUACCGGAAUCUGUCCAGUUGUGGGGGAUAACGCAGGGAAACUUACGCUAAUAUCGCACAUGCCCCCUGGGUGAAAGAGCAGGAUCGCAUGACCUCUUGCGCGUUGGUGAGCCGAUGUCGGAUUAGCUAGUUGGCGGGGUAAUGGCCCACCAAGGCGACGAUCCGUAGCUGGUCUGAGAGGAUGAUCAGCCACACUGGAACUGAGACACGGUCCAGACUCCUACGGGAGGCAGCAGUGGGGAAUAUUGGACAAUGGGCGCAAGCCUGAUCCAGCCAUACCGCGUGGGUGAAGAAGGCCUUCGGGUUGUAAAGCCCUUUUGUUGGGAAAGAAAACCAUCAGGCUAAUACCCUGGGAGGCUGACGGUACCCAAAGAAUAAGCACCGGCUAACUUCGUG
rnacentral:rRNA from 1 species